GACAGAGGGUGCAAACGUUGUUCGGAAUUACUGGGUGUAAAGCGCGUGUAGGUGGCAGGCCAAGUCUGUUGUGAAAUCGCCCGGCUCAACUGGGCGCGGUCAAUGGAAACUGGUCAGCUGGAGGACGGUAGAGGCGAGUGGAAUUCCCGGUGUAGUGGUGAAAUGCGUAGAGAUCGGGAGGAACACCAGUGGCGAAGGCGGCUCGCUGGGCCGGUCCUGACACUGAGACGCGAAGGCGUGGGGAGCGAACGGG
rnacentral:rRNA from 1 species